GCACCUGUAGCUCAAUGGAUAGAGCUUUUGACUACGGAUCAAAGGGUUGGGGGUUCGAAUCCCUCCAGGUGCG
rnacentral:tRNA from 1 species